GACGAACGCUGGCGGCGUGCCUAAUACAUGCAAGUCGAGCGAGCGGAACCAACAGAUUUACUUCGGUAAUGACGUUGGGAAAGCGAGCGGCGGAUGGGUGAGUAACACGUGGGGAACCUGCCCCUAAGUCUGGGAUACCAUUUGGAAACAGGUGCUAAUACCGGAUAAUAAAGCAGAUCGCAUGAUCAGCUUUUGAAAGGCGGCGUAAGCUGUCGCUAAGGGAUGGCCCCGCGGUGCAUUAGCUAGUUGGUAAGGUAACGGCUUACCAAGGCGACGAUGCAUAGCCGAGUUGAGAGACUGAUCGGCCACAUUGGGACUGAGACACGGCCCAAACUCCUACGGGAGGCAGCAGUAGGGAAUCUUCCACAAUGGACGCAAGUCUGAUGGAGCAACGCCGCGUGAGUGAAGAAGGUUUUCGGAUCGUAAAGCUCUGUUGUUGGUGAAGAAGGAUAGAGGUAGUAACUGGCCUUUAUUCGACGGUAAUCAACCAGAAA
rnacentral:rRNA from 1 species